UACGAAGGGGGCUAGCGUUGCUCGGAAUUACUGGGCGUAAAGCGCGCGUAGGCGGGUCGUUAAGUCGGGGGUGAAAUCCUGGAGCUCAACUCCAGAACUGCCUUCGAUACUGGCGAUCUUGAGUCCGGGAGAGAUGAGUGGAACUCCGAGUGUAGAGGUGAAAUUCGUAGAUAUUCGGAAGAACACCAGUGGCGAAGGCGGCUCACUGGCCCGGUACUGACGCUGAGGUGCGAAAGCGUGGGGAGCAAACAGG
rnacentral:rRNA from 1 species